CUUCCUGAUAGUUCCUCUGAUGUCUCAAGCUCCGCCCUCUUCUCUGAGCUCGUCUUGCGGUCCUCGCGGCUCAUGGCGGCGGCCUCGCCUCGCCUCGCCGCCUGCCGUCGCGCAGUCCGCGCGCCCACCUCCUCCUGCACGGUUGUGGCCUCUGCUCCGUCGCCCGGAUGCCCAGUUCCGUGCUCCAGCCCCGGCCCAGUCGACGACCUGGACCCGCAGCUAUUCGGCGCGCCCUGCUGCGCCUCGCCUCAUCGCCUGCCGCCGCGCAGUCCACACGCCCACCUCCUCCUGCGCGGUUGCGGCCUCUGCUCCGCCGCCCGGAUACCCGAUUCCGUGCUCCAGCCCCGGCCCAGUCGACGACCCGGACCCGCACCUUCUCGGCGUGCCCUGCUGCGUGCACACCGCACAGCAACUUCCGCGGGCGGCGACCAUACCUCUGCGUCGCAGUGGGAGAGUUCGCCGCCGCUGCCAUCGCCUAGGUACACAACGAGUUUGCCACUGUGCUGUGCCCACGCGCGAACCGAUGGUUGUCGCCUUUACGCGCCCACAAGCUAGGUGUAAUCUCCCUGUGCGCCGUCGCCGCCGUGAUGGGCAGGCCACAAGGAAUUCCGCGCCACCCCCUCUGUCGUGGCUGCGUCCGCCUCAUCGGCCAUGUUCUCCUACACACCGUUGCCCUCUGCAGCUGACGCCUCGACGCCAUACGUGGUCGACGACCAUAUCUGGCCGGGGGAUCCUGCUUCGCUUGGCUUCUAUGCGUUUUUCCAAAGAUUAAGUUACAGAAUAUGGUCUUCCCAUUUCUUCCCUCUUUCUGCAAUGGAAUCCGAGGUACCCCUCUCUCUAGGAAAUCCAAUGGUAUUCCAGCAAAAUUUCUUUUUAAGCACUGAAAGGGAUUUUACAGAUCCUCUGCUGCAAAUUUGUUGUUUCCCCCACUUAUGUGGCUGACUGCAUAAAUACAGAAGUUUUUGGCAUCCCCGACCUCGUUCUGUUAUUACUUCCAUUAAAAGAAGAAUGCUAAAUUUCAUUUCCCAGCUUAUGCAAAGGUAUGUUAUGCUUCUUUCAUUUCCCAAAGUCUACCAUCUCUUCGAUCUUUCCAAAGAAACCAGAAAGCGCAAGCACAUGAAAAUGAAAUCCAGGAGCUUCAAUCGGCUGCAGAGAAGGCCAAAACCCUGCUCAACUUCACAACAACAAAGAAGGUGGUGUAUGCAAGGUGAACAAAGAAACUGGAUAUAAUCUUUGUGAUCAGACUUCGUCGUGUGCUCCGAUGAUUAGCGGACCGUUACCUCACCAAGCUACAUCUGUAGCUACUAUCACAGCAGGCCAAUAGCCAGGUCUGCCCAUCCCACAGCUCAUCAACAGAAUUGGAAGAAACCGAGCUACUGAGCUAUCCCUAACCAUAACUGCAGAAGACAACUCCCAGUUGCCUCUUGGAACUACUGAACAAGUUGAAGAAACAGCUGGCUUUACUGCUCCAGUCAUGUUUCAGCUCCCUUCCCUUGAGAUGACAAUCCCAUUGGUGGACACUUUCCUCGCUUUGUCAGUUCAGAUCCCGUUCAGUUAUAUACCCGUGGAGAAAUG